AACCCUAAUGCUAACUAAAAGGUAAAUUCAGUUUAGGGUUUAAAACCCUAAUACUGAUUACAUGGAAAAGCUCAGUUUAGGGUUUAAAACCCUAAUACUGACUAAAAGGAAAAUUCAGUUUAGGGUUUAAAACCCUAAUGCUGAUUGCAUGGAAAAGCUCAGUUUAGGGUUUAAAACCCUAAUGCUGACUAAAAGGGAAAGUUCAGUUUAGGGUUUAAAACCCUAAUGCUGAUUGCAUGGAAAAGCUCAGUUUAGGGUUUAAAACCCUAAUGCUGGCUGAAAGGAAAAAGUUCGGUUUAGGGUUUAAAACCCUAAUGCUGACUGGAAGGAAAAGUUCAGUUUAGGGUUUAAAACCCUAAUGCUGAUUGCAUGGAAAAGCUCAGUUUAGGGUUUAAAACCCUAAUGCUGGCUGAAAGGAAAAAGUUCAGUUUAGGGUUUAAAACCCUAAUGCUGACUAAAAGGAAAAGUUCAGUUUAGGGUUUAAACCCUAAUGCUGAUUGCAUGGAAAAGCUCAGUUUAGGGUUUAAAACCCUAAUGCUGGCUGAAAGGAAAAAGUUCAGUUUAGGGUUUAAAACCCUAAUGCUGACUAAAAGGAAAAGUUCAGUUUAGGGUUUAAAACCCUAAUGCUGACUGAAAGAAAAAGUUUAGUUUAGGGUUUAAAACCCUAAUGCUGAUUGCAUGGAAAAGCUCAGUUUAGGGUUUAAAACCUUAAUGCUGAUUGCAUGGAAAAAGUUCAGUUUAGGGUUUAAAACCCUAAUGCUGAUUGCAUAGAAAAGCUCAGUUUAGGGUUUAAAACCCUAAUGCUAGCAGAAUGGAAAAAGUUCAGUUUAGGAUUUAAAACCCUAAUGCUGACUAAAAGGAAAAUUCAGUUUAGGGUUUAAAACUCUAAUGCUGAUUGCAUGGAAAAGCUCAGUUUAGGGUUUAAAACCCUAAUGCUGGCUGAAAGGAAAAAGUUCAGUUUAGGGUUUAAAACCCUAAUGCUGACUAAAGGAAAAAUUCAGUUUAGGGUUUAAAACCCUAAUGCUGACUAAAAGGAAAAUUCAGUUUAGGGUUUAAAACCCUAAUGCUGAUUGCAUGGAAAAGCUCAGUUUAGGGUUUAAAACCCUAAUGCUGGCUGAAAGGAAAAGUUCAGUUUAGGGUUUAAAACCAUAAUGCUGACUAGAAGGAAAAUUUAGUUUAGGGUUU
rnacentral:lncRNA from 1 species